rfam:Agrilus planipennis Contig50877, whole genome shotgun sequence.
ACAUUUCCCUAUCCCCUAUAUCCAAAUCUUUCCCUUGGGAGUAAGAGCUUUAUAGUUGAAAUCCCAUCUCGAGGAGGGGUUUUAGUCGGUAGGCGCCACGGCGAAUCCGACACUACCCCCAGUGGGUGUCUUUUGAAGAUUUACCCUCCUCGAGGCUA